AUAUCCUAACUCUGGCAUGGUUUCUUCAGGUAUGGCCACCAGGACAGUCCAGAGGUCAGCCGGAAGUUGGAGCUGGAAGCUGCAGUGGCACGCCUGCGCACAGAGAUCCAAGAGUUAGACCAGAGCCUGGAGCUGAUAGAGCAAGAGGCUGAGGCUCAAGACCUGGCUGUGGAGCAGAUGCUGCAGAGCACACGGGACACCCAAUAUCGAGCUCUCCUCCUCCGGGCCCAAACUGGAAACCUGCGAAGACAGCAGCAUGGACUGCGAGUCCCCACAUAGCAGCUGCAGAAUCAGCUCAGGUGCCUACAGGACAUAGAGAGGUGGGCCUCAUCUGCCCAAGAGACCAGAUGUCACCAGGUGGCCACACAUUUACCUCUGAGAUCCCAAUGUUCUUACCUGAUCCUUACUGGAUUCCGGAAUUCUGCACAACCAACCCUAGGAUUUAAGGCCCAUAAGCCCAGUUAGUUUUGCACCAUCUCUUGGGUAACAACAAUAGACAUAGGAUAGGCCCCUGUUUAUGCUCCUGGACCUUAUGCUCUGAUGCAGAGAAGGCUGACUGCAAACUAGGAAACAGAUCCUGUCAUUUUGGGGAGAAAUAAGUUCAAUGAAGAAAAGACUGUGUGACCAAGGGAAAGGUGUUUGCUACCUGAGCUAGGAUGCUCAGGACAGGCCUCUCUGAGGAGGUAACCUGGGUUGGGGCACAAAUAUUCAUAGAGAGGGAACAGCCAGGCUCCAAUCUUGGCCUUCAGGAAGAGCUGCCAAGAGGCAAAUACAGCUCAGUAUUUGAAGACAGGAGGGACUAGAUGAAGGGUGAGAUAGGAGAAGCAGUCAGAGGGCCCUGGAGGCAUAGGAGUUUUACUGGUAGAUGGAAUUCAUGCCCCACCUUGGCCAUUUAUAACUGUGUGAGCUUAGGCAAGGGACUUAACUUCUUUGUACCUCAAUUUCUAAAAGCUAUCUAUGCUAAGCCUCAGGCUAGCAUCAUUCUGAAUGGAGAAAAAUUGAAGGCAUUCCCUCUAAAAUCUAGAACAAGACAGGGAUGCCCUCUCUCACCACUUCUAUUCAAUAUAGUUCUCAAAAUACUGGCCAGAGCAAUUAGACAGACGAAAGAAAUUAAAGGCAUAAAGAUAGGAAAAGAAGAACUUAAAUUAUCACUAUUUGCGGAUGACAUGAUCCUAUACCUAGCAGACCCAAAAGGUUCUACAAAGAAACUACUAGAGCUAAUAAAUGAAUUCAGCAAAGUGGCAGGAUAUAAAAUCAACAUGCAUAAGUCAAAGGCAUCACUGUAUAUCAGCGACAAAUCUUCUGAAAAGGAAAUGAGGACAACCACCCCAUUUACAAUAUCCUCAAAAAAAAAAUAAAAUACUUGGGAAUCAACCUAACAAAAGAGGUGAAAGAUUUAUACAAUGAAAACUACAGAACCCUAAAGAAAGAAAUAGAAGAAGAUCUUAGAAGAUGGAAAAAUAUACCCUGUUCAUGGAUAGGCAGAACUAACAUCAUCAAAAUGGCAAUAUUACCAAAAGUUCUCUAUAGGUUUAAUGCAAUGCCAAUCAAAAUCCCAAAGGCAUUUCUUAUAGAAAUAUAUAAAGCAAUCAUGAAAUUCAUCUGGAAAAAUAAAAGACCCAGAAUAGCAAAAGCAAUUCUAAGCAGGAAGAGUGAAACAGGCAGUAUAGCAAUACCAGACUUCAAACUAUACUAUAGAGCAAUAGUAACAAAAACAUCAUGGUACUGGUACCAAAACAGGCGAGUGGACCAAUGGUACAGAAUAGAGGACACAGAGACCAAUCCACAAAAUUACAACUAUCUUAUAUUUGACAAAGGUGCUAAAAGCAUGCAAUGGAGAAAAGAUAGCAUCUUCAACAAAUGGUGCUGGGAAAACUGGAAAUCCAUAUGCAACAAAAUGAAUCUGAAUCCCUUUCUCUCACCAUGAACAAAAGUUAAGGAUCAAGGAGCUUGAUAUCAAAACAGAGACUGAGUCUGAUAGAAGAAAAAGUUGGCUCUGAUCUACAUAUUGUGGGGUCGGGCUCCAAAUUCCUUAAUAGGACACCCAUAGCACAAGAGUUAAAAACAAGAAUCAACAAAUGGGACUUACUCAAACUAAAAAGUUUUUUCUCAGCAAGAGAAAUAAUAAGAGAGGUAAAUAGGGAGCCUACAUUCUGGGAACAAAUUUUUACUCCUCACACUUCAGAUAGAGCCCUAAUAUCCAGAGUAUACAAAGAACUCAAAAAGUUAAACAAUAAGAAAACAACCCAAUCAACAAAUGGGCCAAGGACCUGAACAGACACUUCUCAGAGGAGGACAUACAAUCAAUCAACAAGUACAUGAAAAAAUGCUCACCAUCUCUAGCAGUCAGAGAAAUGCAAAUUAAAACCACCCUAAGAUACCAUCUCACUCCAGUAAGAUUGGCAGCCAUUAUGAAGUCAAACAAUAACAAGUGCUGGCGAGGAUGUGGGGAAAAGGUGGGACUGCAAAUUGGUGUGGCCAAUUUGGAAAGCAGUAUGGAGAUACCUCGGAAAGCUGGGAAUGGAACCACCAUUUGACCCAGCUAUCCCCCUUCUCGGUCUAUUCCCCAAAGACCUUAAAAGAGUGUAUUAUAGGGAUACAGCUACAUCCAUGUUCAUAGCAACACAAUUCACAAUAGCUAGACUGUGGAACCAACCUAGAUGCCCUUCGAUAGAUGAAUGGAUAAAAAAAAUGUGGCAUUUAUACACAAUGGAGUAUUACUCAGCACUAAAAAAUGACAAAAUCAUGGCAUUUGCAGGGAAAUGGAUGGCAUUAGAGCAGAUUAUGCUAAGUGAAGCCAGCCAAUCCCUAAAAAACAAAUGCCAAAUGUCUUCUUUGAUAUAAGGAGGGCAACAAAGAACAGAACAGGGAGGAAGAGCAUGAGAAGAUCACCAUUAAACAGGGACGAGAGGGGGAGGGAAAGGGAGAGAGAAGGGAAAUUGCAUGGAAAUGGAAGGAGACCCUCAUUGUUGCACAAAAUUACAUAUAAGAGGAAGUGAAGGGAAAGGGAAAAAAAACAAGAGAGA